rnacentral:rRNA from 1 species
GAUGAACGCUGGCGGCGUGCCUAAUACAUGCAAGUCGAGCGAACGGACGAGAAGCUUGCUUCUCUGAUGUUAGCGGCGGACGGGUGAGUAACACGUGGAUAACCUACCUAUAAGACUGGGAUAACUUCGGGAAACCGUAGCUAAUACCAGAUAAUAUUUUGAACCGCAUGGUUCAAAAGUGAAAGACGGUCUUGCUGUCACUUAUAGAUGGAUCCGCGCUGCAUUAGCUAGUUGGUAAGGUAACGGCUUACCAAGCCAACGAUGCAUAGCCGACCUGAGAGGGUGAUCGGCCACACUGGAACUGAGACACGGUCCAGACUCCUACGGGAGGCAGCAGUAGGGAAUCUUCCGCAAUGGGCGAAAGCCUGACGGAGCAACGCCGCGUGAGUGAUGAAGGUCUUCGGAUCGUAAAACUCUGUUAUUAGGGAAGAACAUAUGUGUAAGUAACUGUGCACAUCUUGACGGUACCUAAUCAGAAAGCCACGGCUAACUACGUG